GCAAGUCGAAGGAGAAGCUGGACUUCGGUCCAGUGGAAACUGGCGCACGGGUGAGUAACGCGUGGGAACAUGCCCAAGGGUACGGAAUAACAGCUGGAAACGGCUGCUAAUACCGUAUGUCCCCUCCGGGGGAAAGAUUUAUCGCCCUUGGAUUGUCCCGCGUCCGAUUAGCUUGUUGGUGAGGUAACGGCUCACCAAGGCGACGAUCCGUAGCUGGUUUGAGAGGAUGAUC
rnacentral:rRNA from 1 species